rnacentral:rRNA from 1 species
GCGCCAGACUCCUACGGGAGGCAGCAGUGGGGAAUAUUGCACAAUGGGGGAAACCCUGAUGCAGCGACGCCGCGUGAGUGAAGAAGUAUUUCGGUAUGUAAAGCUCUAUCAGCAGGGAAGAAAAUGACGGUACCUGAUUAAGAAGCCCCGGCUAACUACGUGCCAGCAGCCGCGGUAAUACGUAGGGGGCAAGCGUUAUCCGGAUUUACUGGGUGUAAAGGGAGCGUAGACGGUGAUGCAAGUCAGAAGUGAAAGUCCGGGGCUCAACUCCGGGACUGCUCUGGAAACUGUGUAACUUGAGUGCAGGAGAGGUAAGCGGAAUUCCUAGUGUAGCGGUGAAAUGCGUAGAUAUUAGGAGGAACACCAGUGGCGAAGGCGGCUUACUGGACUGUAACUGACGUUGAGGCUCGAAAGCGUGGGGAGCAAACAGGAUUAGAUACCCCCGUAUCG